rnacentral:rRNA from 1 species
AAAUUGAAGAGUUUGAUCAUGGCUCAGAUUGAACGCUGGCGGCAGGCCUAACACAUGCAAGUCGAACGGUAGCACAGAGAGCUUGCUCUCGGGUGACGAGUGGCGGACGGGUGAGUAAUGUCUGGGAAACUGCCUGAUGGAGGGGGAUAACUACUGGAAACGGUGGCUAAUACCGCAUAACGUCGCAAGACCAAAGAGGGGGACCUUCGGGCCUCUUGCCAUCAGAUGUGCCCAGAUGGGAUUAGCUUGUUGGUGGGGUAACGGCUCACCAAGGCGACGAUCCCUAGCUGGUCUGAGAGGAUGACCAGCCACACUGGAACUGAGACACGGUCCAGACUCCUACGGGAGGCAGCAGUGGGGAAUAUUGCACAAUGGGCGCAAGCCUGAUGCAGCCAUGCCGCGUGUAUGAAGAAGGCCUUCGGGUUGUAAAGUACUUUCAGCGGGGAGGAAGGGAGUGAGGUUAA